CGAAGAAGCGAACCUGCGAAGGCAAGCGGAUCUCUUAAAGCCGUUCUCAGUUCGGACUGUAGGCUGCAACUCGCCUACACGAAGCUGGAAUCGCUAGUAAUCGCGGAUCAGCACGCCGCGGUGAAUACGUUCCCGGGCCUUGUACACACCGCCCGUCACACCAUGAGAGUCUGUAACACCCAAAGCCGGUGGGAUAACCUUUAUAGGAGUCAGCCGUCUAAGGUAGGACAGAUGAUUAGGGUGAAGUCGUAACAAGGUACC
rnacentral:rRNA from 1 species